rnacentral:lncRNA from 1 species
UUUCUAAUCAAUUGCAAUAUGGUCCCCCAUACAAAUCUCGAUCAAUAUCUAUCAUAUUAAAAUGAUUUUAUUUUUAUUUUUCACAUUUCUUUUAUUUUUUUACUUUUUUGACAGCUUUGGAUGGAGGGACAACAUUGAAAAUGAUUGAAAAUUAUAGGGAUCUAAUUGUUCAAAUCGAAACUAUAAGGAUCAAAGUGAAACUUUUUCUAAAAUGAAGGGACCAACAGUGAAACUUAUGCUAUUUUUAUUUUUUCAUAACCUAAACUCGACUAAAGGUCAAAAGCUAGACGCGCAGAAUUUG